UACGUAGGGUGCGAGCGUUAAUCGGAAUUACUGGGCGUAAAGCGUGCGCAGGCGGUUUUGUAAGCCAGAUGUGAAAUCCCCGGGCUAAACCUGGGAAUGGCAUUUGGGACUGCAAGGCUUGAGUUUGGCAGAGGAGACUGGAAUUCCUGGUGUAGCAGUGAAAUGCGUAGAUAUCAGGAGGAAUACCAAUGGCGAAGGCAAGUCUCUGGGCUAUAACUGACGCUCAUGCACGAAAGCGUGGGGAGCAAACAGG
rnacentral:rRNA from 1 species